rnacentral:rRNA from 1 species
UACAGGGGGUGCAAACGUUGCUCGGAAUCAUUGGGCGUAAAGCGCACGUAGGCGGUUCGUUAUGUCGGAUGUGAAAGCCCUUGGCUUAACCGAGGAAGUGCAUCCGAAACUGGCGAGCUAGAGUACUAAAGAGGAUCGCGGAAUUCCCGGUGUAGAGGUGAAAUUCGUAGAUAUCGGGAGGAACACCGGUGGCGAAGGCGGCUCACUGGCCCGGAACUGACGCUGAGACGCGAAAGCGUGGGUAGCAAACAGG